UCGAGAAUCAUUCGCAAUGGGCGAAAGCCUGACGAUGCGACGCCGUGUGAGCGAUGAAGGCCUUCGGGUUGUAAAGCUCUUUCGCUUGGGAACAAGAGAAGCUGGCUAAAAUCCAGUGGAUUUGAGGGUACCAGGUAAAGAAGCACCGGCUAACUCCGUGCCAGCAGCUGCGGUAAUACGGAGGGUGCAAGCAUUAAUCGGAUUUAUUGGGCGUAAAGGGCGCGUAGGCGGGAAGAUAAAGUCAGAUGUGAAAUCCUAGGGCUCAACCUUAGAACAGCAUUUGAAACUGGCUUCCUAGAGGGUAGAAGGAGAAAACGGAAUUCCACAAGUAGCGGUGAAAUGCGUAGAUAUGUGGAAGAACACCGGUGGCGAAGGCGGUUUUCUAUUUUAUACCUGACGC
rnacentral:rRNA from 1 species